AAUGGUCCCGGUGAGGUUUUCGGAUUGCGGCGACGCCGGCGGGUUCGCCGCCGGUGACGUUGUGAGAAGUUUAUCGAACCUUAUCAUUUAGAGGAAGGAGAAGUCGUAACAAGGUUUCCGUAGGUGAACCUGCGGAAGGAUCAUUG
rnacentral:rRNA from 1 species